CGCAUAAGCGGCUUAUUAAAUCAAAUAUAAAAUCCCCGGACUCAACCUGGGAACUGCAUCCGAUACUGGCUGGCUAGAGUGUGGUAGAGGGAAGUGGAAUUCCAGGUGUAGCGGUGAAAUGCGUAGAUAUCUGGAGGAACAUCAGUGGCGAAGGCGGCUUCCUGGACCAACACUGACGCUGAGGUGCGAAAGCGUGGGGAGCAAACA
rnacentral:rRNA from 1 species